AAUGGCGAGCUUCUUAUGGAAAUAAAUUUCGAAGAACGAGUUUCUUGGAAUCCGAUCACAGCACAACUCUCAAUUCUUCCAUUAUUGGCGAGAUACGAAUUGCUCCCCGUUGUAGAGAGCCUCGUUCCACCUUAGAUAAUAGAUAUGACUCGAUUGCUGCUAUAUCGGUAAAGAUUAAUUCUGACUGCUGAAAAGUUGAAAGUUACAUCUGAAUUGAAUUGAAAAGAUGUAGUUUUUAUUUUUAUUUUUUUUGGGUAAAGGAGAAGAUAUGAUUUUAUUCGUAUGUGUCGGCCAUAAAAUGAUGAGGAGAAGUAGUGCGGCAGUGUGUAUUUACUUUGGAUACUUGUUGCAAGAUUUAGAAUGCAUUUUCAUUUUCACUUCGAGUUUUUCUUUAGACUAGUGAAGUGUGUCCUCUGUAUGACUUCCGCAUUGUCAGCACCAGCGGAUUUUAGACCAUGCGGAAGAAAAUGACACAGCUUUUUGAAUGCUAUGCAUGUAUGUGUUCGAUGCUAUGCCACCAUAAGCAUUUUUCAGCUUCCAUAAGACCAAAAUAUUCAUGGCUUGAAUCACGCAUCUUGAUCCCGGGGCAUUGCAACUGGUGCAACUACAGAUUACUAUAUUUUGUUUCCUAGCACUGGCAAUGCUUACCUGGUAAGCUUAUUUAUCAAUAUAUGCAGACUGCUGCAUUAAUGGAUGAAGAAAACAGUGGAGAUUGUAUUACCACGAUACACUCUUUUUCCCCCCAAAUGCUUUGGGAUCAGAAGUCUCACUUCUUGUUAUGAUACACCGAUGAUUUUGCAUGUCAAGCCUUAUGAGAAUUUGGUCUUUAGAUGAGAUAGUCUCUUUGCUUCCUCCUCGGAAAGACAUCUGGGAUAAUGAUUUUUAAAUUGCAAUUCUCUUCUAAAGUCAGGUGCAAGGAAGGUGCUGGGGCUCUUCUUUAUUAACAGGAAUUGUGGUGAUUGGCGAUGCAAGUUCAGCUGGCUCUAACAAAAAUGGGGGAGUGGCAAAGGACAGCAGAAAGUGAUGUUGAAGUUUCUUCGGAAUAUAGUUUACAUGGAAGGCAAGAAACAAUCUGCUUCAUGGUUAAGCUACUUCUCCCUUCGAGCAUGUUCUUAGAUUGAUCGAUUUGUUACUUAACAUCGAUUUGAAGGCUAUCUACUUUCAAAAGGAUACAUGUUGUGCUUAUGAUUAUCUAUAUAAUGUAAUGAUGGGGAUAGUGAAAAGCUAAAAUGUGUGAGAUUUGCUUAUACUGUCAUCUAUAAUGAGUAUGUCUGUUUACAUAACUAUUUUCUUGCUACCAUCUUUCUUGCCAAUCUAAACAUUAGGUUUGUCAACCUAAUUUAUGGUUGUCAAAAGCAGUCUCCGUCUUGAAAAUUUUGUGAAUUUAUGUUAUGACAUAGGAGUUUGUCAAAAAGUGCUCCAGUGCACUUCUUAAACAAUUGAAUCAGCUAAUGCUUAUUUAGACAAUGAGAAAGAGUUCAGAAACUUGCGGUGUCACAAAUCACUCGAUGGUAUUGAUAGGGGAAUAUGCUAUAUUUAAAAUACUUUGUUGGGUAUAUGUGUAUUCUGUUGUUGUAUCUAACACUUAACUCUUCCAAUACCUAUGCCAAUAAAAGCGCUAGCAUUUAAUUAAUUGAGAUUAGGGUGUAACUAACCUGGUAAAUUCAUCCUAAAGGCUCGAAAUUAGGGAGUAAUUUUAAAGUUAGGGGGCUAAUUUUGUUAAGAGUUGUGGUUGUUUUCAUUGUGCUUGAUAACGUUUUUUGUUGGACUUUUUAACACUAUAUCAUAUUAGACCUCAAUUGUUUCUAACAUUUUCCUCUACCUUAAGUUUUUGAAUUUGAUUUUCUAACAAUUGUACCCCUUAAGGGUACUUUAAACCAAACACUCCGGUGCUUCGAGCAAAUUUAUGUAAUUAUUCGAAAACCCUUAACACGACUCUCUUGCCCCUUCUUUGACACGCUGCCAACCCAGACCUCCUCAUCAGCGUCCCCAUCAAUUUGUCCAUCUAUCUCUUCUUCUUCUUCUUCUUUUGUCGAUUGAUUGUCUUCAAGCACAACCUUGGCAUCUUUGACCCGAUGCCUACCAUGCUCUCCUAUCCUUAAUUCCUUUCCGUUGACUUUGGUUAUGUUAAUUGGAUCAUCAUCAUCUUCAUCAAUACUUUCUCUGGUUUUAUUGCCCCCCUGUUGCACCGUUUUUUCUUUAAUCUGCAAAAUAAAGAGGAGUAAAUAAAUCUUCGAUAACAUAAUUACUAAUGCUGGCAUCGUGACUAAAGGUUCUCUUUAUUGGCGAUAUACUUCCCACCACUAAAUUUUUGUAAUAGCAAAACCAAUGAAAUAUUGUAGAUUAAGUUAAAAAAUUGAAGAUAUGUUUCAUGAUAUUUUUCCUCUCAAAUAGAUUGUCUAUGGAAAAAGGAAAUGAAAUGCAAUUUUAGUCUGCCAAUUAGAUUUCUCAAAAUUUGGGGCACCAAUUAAAAAAUGUAUGUAUUUAAUUUCAUAAUCACAAAAUAGUGGAAAACUACAUUGUAAGACAAAAUGAUGUAUUCCUUAUUUAUAAACAAAAAAUCUAAUUAUCGAUGAGUGUAAACUUCCCAAAGAAAAUCAAUCAAUUGUUAGAUCUUAUUCUAAAGAAUGAGAAAUAAUUGAACUUAAAAAGGACAAACUCCAAAGUUUUAACGUGCAUUGGCUACCCAACCUGCAAACAAGUCCAUUGUAAACUGAGGACAAACUCCAAAGUUUUAAAGAGCAGGGCAAGAAAAUCAAUCAAUGGUUUCCCUCUGAGGGAAGAACUGAGGCCAAGGCUGAACCGCCAGCCCAUUGGCGACCCAACCACCUGCAAACUGAGGAUGGAAGAUGUGGCGGAACUUACGCCGGCCCUACUGGACAAGUCUUUGACAGAGUACUAGGAAGAAAUCCAGCGCAUGUAUAACCGUGGCCUGACAGUGUCGAGCACCGGUCCUGCCACUAGUACUGUGGUUGGUUGGAGAAACUAACACUCAGCCUACUGUGCCAACCACAUGUGAUUUUUAAUUAGUUAUAUAAUUAUGAUAAUGAUAGAUACAUGUACAGAACAAGAUCUGUUUGGUCCUGGGAUGAGAAAAGGAGGACAUUGAUCUGACCGUAUGGAUUCAAAAUUCAAUGAGGAUAUGAAAUGAUUCUUUCUCUAAGAUGAGGACUUCAAGGUCGUUGUGUUCUGCUUAGUGUUGAUUUCUGCCUGCACAGAUCUGUUUCCGAAACAGAAGCCUUGCCUUGUGCGGUUUGCGUUAUCUAAUGCAAAUUGCAGAUAGUUCUCUCUUGGCAAGAUCUGAAGAUCUUUUAGCUUCGAAAGCAUGCACAUCACGAAUAUGGUUCACUGAGUAACAUGUUUGAAAGAUGUCUAUGUAAGUUGUCUGCAGUCUCAAUCCAAGUCGGAGUUCUAAAUCUCUACGCAUGAUCUGCAAAAACAGCUUAGCUUUUGCAUGUUUAUUCGUAAAUCUUAAUGAAGUAAAGACAAUCAGAUCGUCUUGGACAUGAUGGGAUGGCCCCUCAUCCGCUCAAAUUUCAAAGCUAAUAAGGCGCUGAAUAACGGGCUUGAUUGGUCAAAAUAUGCAUAGGCCAAUCUGGAGUCAAAGACUGGUAGAAAUCCCUGAAGUGACGUGCCUUGGUUUCUAACGCCAGUGGUCUUCCUUUCCCGUGCAUGGAUGGGAGCUUUGAUCCUCCACAUCCCACGACUAACAUGCAAACAAGACUUGUAUCCGACCAAGAAGAGCUGUUCAGCUGGUUUCCACAAGCUCAUUGUAUCCGAUUAUAAAUGCCUAAAUUGGAUAUUUUAAACCAUGUUACCUGAUCUUAUCUAAACUCAGUCACCUUCAGCACCUCCAUCCCAGCCUCAGCGAUCCUCUGACUCAAGAUGAAGGUCAAAAACACUGAUUGCAGUGCUGAUUUUUGUUUUGAAUUCAUACUUUCUUCUCUCAAACACGAAUACACCGAAAGCAUUCAUUUGCUCAUUUCACUUUUCACUUCAACUAUUGGUUUUGGUUGAUUCCAGCUCUUCACCUAGAUACAGAACAAGCUGAAUGUGAGAUAGGAGUAUACUCGUAAAGCUGAUGCAGUUAUCAUCAACCUGUCACCAUAAAGUACUAUUUUGGCAUGUCUUUGUAACGGAUGAUUCUCGGCUUUAUACGGUGCAUCGCAAAAGCUGAGAAAGCUAAGAAUGAACCGUACUCUCAUUAGGGUAGAAUUGAAGGCCUUCUAUCGAUUUGUUUUUCUCCACUCACUAACACGACAUUAGCAUGCUGCCAUGUGUACACUAGUUUUGCUUAUAGAAAUGCGCCGUGAAAGAGGGGGUGUCACGGUCAGUGUACACGCUUAUCAUUUCCUUACAUGACUGCAGGAUCUUGAUUAUGAUAACUAGGAAUCUACUUAGGGCCUUCUGUACCAUCAUACAAGGUGCCUACUUUUCCAAUUCACUUACAUUUUAUUUUGGAGAAAUUCAGAGGAAUCUGUUCUUUGCUCCACUUCUAGAACAUGGGUUCUACUGUGAGUAGACCACGUUGAUGUCGAUAUACAUGAACUUCAUGUUGUCUCUUCCAUUGAUGGAGUUUAAUAUCUUGUUAAACCUUAAUGGUUCAGAUCAGGUGAAACUAGAACCUUGAGAAGAGUUCAUUGACCGCCACAUGGAUUAUUUGCAAGUGGGACUUUUGGGAAAAGUGAUUUCGGGGGAAGUCGGGGAAACCAAGAUCUCUAGGAGAAUCAUUUUCAUCCGACAAAGCUAUAGAAAGAGCCAACCAAGCUUUUGUCCCUUAAAACAAGCAGCAAAACAGAAAACCAAAUCUUGGACCUCUAGCUGGAUAGACUCGUGUACUGUCCCUCGAGUUUGGAGGUGGAUCGCUGAAUCGGCAGUUUGUUUCACAGUGAUUGAGAUGACUAUGAUGAUGAUGAUGAGAUUGAUAUUGAGUGGACCAUCAGUGCGAUACUUCAUAGAUGCAGGGAAAUUUGCGCAGAUAGCAACAAGAACGAUCGACGAAGGAGUAAUUUUCCUUCAUUAUCAAGAAGAUGUUUGCCUGUAGAAGUGGAAUCCUUGUAUGAAAAAUUGUUCCAUUGUGGUCCAUUCAUGCUACAGUCUCCAGUACGAAGAAAAAUUUGUCCAAAAAAAAUUCUAAACCUAUUAUACUCUUGCCAAUUCACUUUAAACAUUUCAAUUUUGUCAAUUGAGUCUUAUAACCUUUCAAUGUUUUAUCAAUUUAGUCCAUUUGGCUACUUUUGAACAUAAAUUGCUAAUAUAAACGCCGAUCGUUUUACGUAACAUGAUCGAUAUUGACGUGGAUAAUCUUUAAUAAUAUUUUAGUAUGUACAUGUCUUGUUUCUUUAGUCAAGUAUGUGUGGAUCUUCUAUUUCCAAGUGGGUCCUGAAUAAUUAUUUGCUUGUCCAGUAAUUCUCUCUUUGACAAGUUUUUGACUUUUUUAGACAUAGAAUCUGCCCUCCUCGCCAUCAUCAUUUCCAACCUUGUCUUCAGUUGGAUAUUUGGAUAUUUUGUAAUUUUGAUGAUCCGUUAAGAAUGUCACCAUAAAUUGUGGAAGAUAUCUCUGUCACAGCUCCUCAAACUUGUGAUCUUUUCACCCCUUUCCAAAAAGCAAUUAUAAUGAACAUUUUUCUUUUUUAAUAACUAAAAAGUAACAUUUUUUUUUUGUAAGUUGAAAAAGUAGAAGAAAAUAAAAGGAGCAUUCUAAAUUUCCUCACAUUGAGCCAAAGAAUGAGAUCACAUAAGAACAAUUAAGGAAUUUUAUCGGUUGUCAUGUCUCGAUAGAAAGUAAGUAGUUAAUUUCUUUCCUUUACCUUUUUGUCCUUUUUAUUUGACCAUUUUGCCUUUAUUUUAUCUUUACUUUAUAAUUAGAGUAAUACAUACACAAAGACUAAAUGUGGCUCUCAAAAAGUGAGACAAUUAGGGGUCUUGACUUAUAUAUACCAAAAUUUAAGUUAGAGACAAGACACAGGCUAUGCACAUGUAUGAAACAAGAUUGUUAUGUAUGAUUAACAUAUUUCUAUUUAUUAAAGAAAGUGGAUGGAACCUAAUUGUGUUAUUAUUAUUAUUAUUAUUAUUAUUAUUAUUAUUAUUAUUAUUAUUAUUGUGGUUUCUAGUCGAGACCAUCUUGAUUUCCAAAGGUUGGGUCCAAACUCCAAAACCCUGCCUCCACAUCUUAAAAGAGAUGUGUAAUCAAUGAGGCCCAUCUGAUAAGAGGAAUAAAGUGGAUGAAGUGAGUAGUUACUAAAGAAAGUGAUGAGAUUGUUUUUACCUUUUAUUUUUUUCUUAAUUUUUUCAUGAGGAUACUCAAUUUUUUCUUUUUUAACUUUGACCCAAUCCGGAACAAUGCCCGACUCAAAAAGGCUCGAAAUGUUCAGUUCGGGUCUAGGAAUGAUAUUUACGUUUAUCGUCACCUAUUUCUUUAAGAGUCUUUGAUAUGAUAUGAUUUGUACUCUUUACAUAUUGCUUCUUCUAUGAAAUGAGAUCUGAUAAUAAUUAAUAAUCUUUUAUAUGAAAUAGUAUAUAAAGACACGCACAUAUAGAGAGAGAGUGAUAUCAAAAGAAAAAGUAAAGAAAAAUAUUGUGCUGUGUCAGCAGAGAGCUUACAUUAGGAAACUCCUGUGUCAAGUCACGUGACAAAAUGGUGUUAAGUAACCGGGGGACUGCGACGGCCACUUCUGUAGCGUAGUUCUUUCCAGCUCUCUACUUCGCUCCUCCUUCUCAACUCCUAAAGCCACCAUGAGUUCCUCUUCUUCCGACGAUGAGGGCGGCGGCCCGAAGCUCCCUCACGACGUCGCCGUCGAGAUCCUGAAGCGGUUGCCGGCGAGAUCCCUCCUCCGAUUCAGGUGCGUCUGCCGGUCGUGGCGAUCCGCCAUCGACGACCCUCGUUUCGUGACCCUCCACUGGAGCCACUCCGCCCACCACGCCUCCAGUCGGCAUCUCGCGUGUCUAGAUUGCGGCGACGACGCCGUUCAGAACCGGUGCUCUCUGUUCCCCAACGGGCCUCUCGCCCGGCCUCCUUCCCCGUCGCAAAUCGAAAUCCCGUUCGUUGCUCCUCCCAACCGUUACGCCCUCGUCGGUUCGUGUAACGGUUUGAUCUGCGUCUCGGAGAGUUCCAGUGACGGCACUGAGCGGGCGCUGUAUCUGUGGAAUCUAUUCACCAGGAAGCACAAGGCGGUUCAGCUCCCCCGUCCGGAGCGGGGGCAACCCCUUUCCAUGGGGGCCGCUCGUGUAGCUCUAGGGUUUUGCUUCGACGCUAAGUCUAAUGACUAUCGUGUCGUGAGGGUUAUCCGAUUUGUAAGUGAUCGCCAUCGGCGCUUCCGCGACAGGGAGUCUCGAAUCGAGGUUUAUUCGCUCCGUGCAGAUUCAUGGAGGACUUCAAAUUGUGAGGUUCCUCUUCUCUGCCACGGCAGCAGUGCGGUCUUCUUGAAUGGGAAUCUGCACUGGUGUUCUUUUAAUGGAAAGUGGGAUGGAUACGGAUCCAAAGCCUUGUUCAAUAUUGCGGGUGAGGUGUUUGACGUAUCCAUAGCCUUGUUCAAUAUCGCGGGUGAGGUGUUUGAUAAAAUGGCUCUGCCAGAAGAGAUGCUUCUCAUAGACAGUCUCCAUUUUGUGUUGUCCGUGGCGGUAUUGAAUGGCUUGCUGGCUGUAUUGUUUAGCGGUGGGGAGGCGACUGAGCGGUUUGAUUUGAAUUGCGCUUGUUUCGUUUGGGUUAUGAGAGACUACGGUGACCCUGAGUCUUGGACUAAGCUGUAUACUUUCGAGGCUACUGUACCGGUAACAAGAUUUGAUGGCUUCACGUGGAAUGGCGAGCUUCUUAUGGAAAUAUAUUGUAAAGAACGAGUUUCUUGGAAUCCGAUCACGGGACAAUUCUCAAUUCUUCCAUUGUCAGCGAGAUACGAACUGGUCCCCAUCAUAGAGAGCCUCUUUCCACUCUAGAUAUGACUCGAUUGCUGCUACAUUUAUUGGUAAAGAUUGACAGUUGAAAGUUACAUCUGAAAUGAGAAGAUAUGGUUUUAUUCGUAGGUGCUCCAUUUACUUUGGAUACUUCUUGCAAGCUUUAGAAUGCAUUUUCAUUUUCACUUCGUGUCCUCUGUAUGAGUUAAAGUAUGCAACUCAAGACUGCAUGUAUGACUUCUGCAUUGUCAGCACCAGCAGAUUUUAGACCAUGCGGAAGAAAAUGACCAAGCUUGUCAAAUGCUAUGCAUGUAUGUGUUCGAUGCUAUGCC
rnacentral:lncRNA from 1 species